GUCUACGGCCAUACCACCCUGAACGCGCCCGAUCUCGUCUGAUCUCAGAAGCUAAGCAGGGUCGGUCCUGGUU
rnacentral:rRNA from 1 species